CUCCAUCUUCUCACCUCAUCACACACAGAGAGACUAUGGCUCCCAAAUCCUCCUUUCUCUCUCAUCAGCCCUCCAAAGACGAAGACGAGAGAGAGGAAUCAUCCUCCGGCGAAGAAGAAGAAAAAGAAGACGAAUCAGAGCCGCAAUCUUCCUCCGACGACGAAACGGAGGCGGGCUCCUCCUCCGAGGAAGCCCCAAAUCGACGAACCCUAGAAAGUCUCAAUUCCCCAAUAUCAGCUCCCAAAUCGGCCUCGCGAGGUAAUAGAUUGGAUUCCGACGCCGAUUCCGACGGCUCCCCUUCCAAUUACAUGCUACAGCCGAUCCGCAAGGGCUCCGUCUCCUCAUCGAAGCGCAGCCGUGAUGAGAUUCAGGAGGAUUUGUUGAGGAGCUAUAAGAGCUCGAGAAUUGAGGAGAAGAAAUCUCCUUCCACUCCGGCGGGAGGUGGUGGGGGUGGGGGUGGGGGUGGGGGUGGGCUGGGGUGUAUCAAUAGGCUGUGGAGUAACGAGGAUGAGAUCGCCGUGCUAAAUGGGAUGAUUGAAUUCAAAACCGCCAAGGGUUUCGACCCGAACGCGGAUAUGGGGGCGUUUCACAGCUUCAUCAAGGGGAAAUUGAAGGUGGAUUUCUCGAGGGAUCAGCUGAGGACUAAGAUUACAAGGAUGAAGAAGAGGUUCUUGAAUGCUUUGAAGAAGGGCGCGGACCCUGUCUUCUCGAAGCCUCACGAGGAUACGGCAUUCGUGCUCUCGAAGAGGAUUUGGGGGAAAAGUGAGAAUGCGAAGAAGAAGGUGGAGAAGGAUGUGGUGGAUGAGAGAGAGGCUGUGGAGAGAGAAAGGGAUGGCGAAGGAGAGGACUUUUGGUCCAAGUACCCGAACAUUAAUGCGUCCUUUGAUACUAUGAAGGCGAACUUCCCCUCCCUCGUUGCUCCCGUGGCUGGGAUGAGUUUGUUGAGGGAGAGGUUGAGUUUGAUCGGGAAUGUGAAGGCCAAGGCAUUGGAUAAUAAGUGGAAGCAGUUGCUUGUGGAGGAGAGUGAGCUGAGUUACAAGAUUUUGAUGUUGAUGAAGGAACAGGUUGAAAUGGCUUUGGAUCAAUGAUAGGGUUGACAAUUGCUAAGUUGGUAUUUUUGUGCUUUAUUUUAUACUCCCCUUUUAAAGUUAAUUGUGAUUCUUUGUUUUCAUUAGGAUAAUGAAGUUUUUGAGUAUAUGUUCAAAUUCUUGCUUAAGUUAAUAGUUAAUCUGUCAUUGUUUCUAAUUUCUAUGAUGAAUUUAAUUUUUGAUAUACUUGUUAAGUUAAUUGUGAUUCUUUGUCUUGAUUGGGAUAAUGGAGUUUUUGAGUAUAUGUUCAAAUUCUUGCUUUAGUUAGUUAAUUUAUAAUUGUUUCUGUGAUGAAGUUAGUUCUUGAUAUGCUUAUUGAUGAAGCUACUUGUUUCUGAACAUUACUGCUUGUUUUUUAUAGUAUGACUGCGAAAGUGAAAAUUGAUAGAUAGAUGAUGAAUCAUGACUAGAUCUUGAUGGUAAGAUCCUAAAAUGCACUAACUGGAUUUGCUAAAAUACAUGUUAUUGUUAAUGUUCCUACUUCGAAAGCUGAUAAAUUUCC
rnacentral:lncRNA from 1 species